UACGGAGGGUGCGAGCGUUGUUCGGAUUCACUGGGCGUAAAGGGUGCGUAGGCGGUUGGGUAAGUCUGACGUGAAAUCUCCGGGCCUAACCCGGAAACUGCGUUGGAUACUAUCCGGCUAGAGGAAUGGAGGGGAGACUGGAAUACUUGGUGUAGCAGUGAAAUGCGUAGAUAUCAAGUGGAACACCAGUGGCGAAGGCGAGUCUCUGGACAUUUCCUGACGCUGAGGCACGAAAGCCAGGGGAGCAAACGGG
rnacentral:rRNA from 1 species